rnacentral:tRNA from 1 species
GGGCAGUUGGCCGAGUGGCCAAUGGCAGCAGACUGUAAAUCUGCCGGACUUAGUCCUACGCAGGUUCGAAUCCUGCACUGCCCA